rnacentral:lncRNA from 1 species
ACUCAUUUUUUCAACCAUUUCGUACCAGUACGAGAUGGUGGUACGAGGUGGCAUCUGGCGGUAGAGAACAGUACCGGCUGGUACGAGGUGGCUGGCAUAAUCUUCCGGCUGGUACGAGUUGGCUGGCAGAAGUUUCCGGCUGGUACGAGAUGACUGGCAGAAAUUUCCGGCUGGUACGAGAUGGCCGGCAGACAUCUCUAUUCUAGAGGGAGCCAAAGGGGAGCACCGAGCUGGAUGUCCGGAUGAAGUCCGCCUUGAAGAGCGCCUAGCCGGUGACUGAUAACUUAGUACGGCCGCGGCGACCUUAUAUACUGCGGCUCGAGCAUGUGCCACCUUGUGGUCAGUACGAGAUGGCAGUACGAGAUGGCCGAUAGAAAGGCAACCGGCUAAGUAUCCCAGCAAUUAUGCCAUGGAAUUAUGGUUGCUGUAUUGGUGAACCACACGAUAGCAGACUAAAAAAGAUCGUUUCCUUUGUAAACAUUUCGUGUGCUGCAUAGAACAGAGCAGGCAACAUCCCAAUCCAUCAGCUUCAUGUUAUACGGCCUCAAAGCUUGUAUAUACCAGACCAGGAGGUAUUCCUCCAAUACCUAAUCAUUAUAAAGACUGAGAAAAUGCUAGCCAGAAGCAGAAAAGGCAUUAUUGCCCUCGAUUGUACUACAUGCUCUUUCUUGGAUUGUUUGUUUUCAUUAGUUAAAUCGUUGGCUGCCUCCAGUCUAAAAAUUUGGUCUCGUUGCCAAUUUAGCUUGUAGUAACUCACCACGGCCUGGACCAUGUGAUGGAUUAAGAAAGAAUUUACUAUUGCAAUAUAAAGGCAAACACAUUUAUUGGUUUAACACAUGUUUGUUCAUGUUACAGAUUCUGAAAAUACACCUCUGGGUAAGAGAAAAACAGUUU